UACGUAGGGGGCUAGCGUUGUCCGGAAUCAUUGGGCGUAAAGCGCGUGUAGGCGGUCCGGUAAGUCCGCUGUGAAAGUCGAGGGCUCAACCCUCGAAUGCCGGUGGAUACUGUCGGGCUAGAGUGCGGAAGAGGCGAGUGGAAUUCCUGGUGUAGCGGUGAAAUGCGCAGAUAUCAGGAGGAACACCUAUUGCGAAGGCAGCUCGCUGGGACGUUACUGACGCUGAGGCGCGAAAGCGUGGGGAGCGAACGGG
rnacentral:rRNA from 1 species